UAAUUAUUUGUUUUUAUUUAUUUGUGCGUGUGGUUUUUACUUUAUUAAACUGUCUUUAUCUCAGCUCAUGAGUUUUCCAGCUCUUAGCGUUCCAUUCUCACCCUAAUCCUGCUGGUGGAGGAACGAGCGAGUGGCUGCCUGGGGCUUGGUUGCUGGCUGGGGUGAAAUGACCACAACUUUCAAGCCUAAUCAGCAGGAAAGGAGACCUCACCAGUGAAACAGGCAGCUUUUUAAUAUAUAUAUAUAUAUUUAUAUGUGUGUGUGUGUGUGUGUGUGUGUGUGUGUGUGUGUGUGUAAAAAUAAGUGUCUUUCUUUUAACCAUCAGGAUUUUUCAUGCCGAGAAUAUGGCAUUCAGGAGAUAAUGAGUCCUGUCCACUUCAGCACCUGGAUCAGUUUUGCAGCUUGCAAAUUUCCAGCACCUAGAACAGCAUUUUUUCCCUCCCUAUUAACAGUAGUUUUUCUACCAGUAUGAAAAUUCUGAUAAGAGUGAGUGCUACCCUCUAAGACAUGCUAAAAAUAAAAAGUACACUUGGCUUAACUUUUCACAAUUUUAUUAAUCUUCAUAAGCAGGCACUGAAGAGUGUACAAGGAUAAAUAACCUCUGGUUUGUACACAUUCCCAAGUGUUGUCAACUUCCCUGUCUCUCCCAGCGAUCCUCUCAGUUCUAGACAGCAGGACAGGGAUCUGGCCAGUGGGUCUGGCUCCAGCUCACACCUGGGGGAGGAGUUGGCUGUGGUUGUUGAAGCUGCUUGGCUGGAAGUUCAACACCCUCAGCUUUCCCAUCUGAAACUGCCAGAGAGCUACAAUGGAGCAGGAGAGCUCUGGAUCAGAAUGUUUAACAGAAGCAUCUGCCAGGUGGAUCCCAAUGCUGCUGAAGGACAGUGCAGAGGCUGACCAAGGCACCCGUGACUGCAGCUCCAGCAGUACGUUCCUGAACCCACACAGAAAAGGUGUUUUGCUGGCCUGGAGACUGGCUCCUGUUCCUCUUGGCCUUGAAAGAAGGGCUUAACAUGCCAAGCUCAUUCAUUCUGGAAUAAAUACGUGUUCAACGCGAGGAACGUCCUUCCGAUGGUGCGACACGACGCACAAGUAGAUGAGGAAGAGGAGACACAGCAGCGCCGUAGCUGUGA